AGGUGGCACUUAGCAAAUCAUUUUUAAAGUGAUUUGAGUGGAAGAAGGAUGAUGGUCAGAGUCUAAAAGGGACCUGAAUCGAAAAGCUACCUCAAUCUGCCCUUGAUGUGGUCGCAGUGCAUGAAUAUCUGAUUUAAAGUAAGGAUAAAGAGCAAAAGAUACUAAAUGCCACUACAUCAUGAUGAUCUUGCCUGGAUGGGAAAUGAAACUUCUGCUAGAAAACAGCCAAGCUCCAAGAAACAAACAAUUGAACUCUGUGACCCAUAUAUUGUCUACUUGAAAGAUGUGGCUAUCACUAUGUUAGAGCAUUACAGGAUAUAAAUAAUAUUGAAGUUGGCAAACAUG